UACGAAGGGGGCUAGCGUUGCUCGGAAUCACUGGGCGUAAAGCGCACGUAGGCGGCUUACUAAGUCAGGGGCGAAAUCCUGGAGCUCAACUCCAGAACUGCCUUUGAUACUGGUGAGCUUGAGUCCGGAAGAGGUGAGUGGAACUGCGAGUGUAGAGGUGAAAUUCGUAGAUAUUCGCAAGAACACCAGUGGCGAAGGCGGCUCACUGGUCCGGUACUGACGCUGAGGUGCGAAAGCGUGGGGAGCAAACAGG
rnacentral:rRNA from 1 species